AGAGUUUGAUCCUGGCUCAGAUUGAACGCUGGCGGCAGGCCUAACACAUGCAAGUCGAGCGGAUGAGAGGAGCUUGCUCUUCGAUUCAGCGGCGGACGGGUGAGUAAUGCCUAGGAAUCUGCCUGGUAGUGGGGGACAACGUUUCGAAAGGAACGCUAAUACCGCAUACGCCCUACGGGAGAAAGCAGGGGACCUUCGGGCCUUGCGCUAUCAGAUGAGCCUAGGUCGGAUUAGCUAGUUGGUGGGGUAAUGGCUCACCAAGGCGACGAUCCGUAACUGGUCUGAGAGGAUGAUCAGUCACACUGGAACUGAGACACGGUCCAGACUCCUACGGGAGGCAGCAGUGGGGAAUAUUGGACAAUGGGCGAAAGCCUGAUCCAGCCAUGCCGCGUGUGUGAAGAAGGUCUUCGGAUUGUAAAGCACUUUAAGUUGGGAGGAAGGGCAGUAAGCGAAUACCUUGCUGUUUUGACGUUACCGUCAGAAUAAGUACCGGCUAACUCUGUGCCAGCAGCCGCGGUAAUAC
rnacentral:rRNA from 1 species